rnacentral:rRNA from 1 species
AUUGAACGCUGGCGGCAUGCCUUACACAUGCAAGUCGAACGGCAGCACGGGAGCAAUCCUGGUGGCGAGUGGCGAACGGGUGAGUAAUACAUCGGAACGUGCCCAGUAGUGGGGGAUAACCCGGCGAAAGCCGGACUAAUACCGCAUACGACCUACGGGUGAAAGCGGGGGAUCGCAAGACCUCGCGCUAUCGGAGCGGCCGAUGUCAGAUUAGCUAGUUGGUGGGGUAAAAGCCUACCAAGGCGACGAUCUGUAGCUGGUCUGAGAGGACGACCAGCCACACUGGGACUGAGACACGGCCAGACUCCUACGGGAGGCAGCAGUGGGGAAUUUUGGACAAUGGGCGCAAGCCUGAUCCAGCCAUGCCGCGUGCGGGAAGAAGGCCU